AUUGAACGCUGGCGGCAGGCCUAACACAUGCAAGUCGAGCGGAGCGGCGGACGUGUGAGUAAUGCCUAGGAAUCUGCCUGGUAGUGGGGGAUAACGUCCGGAAAAGGGCGCCAAUACCGCAUCCUUUCAGUUUAGCUUAUGUCGGAUUAGCUAGUGUGUGGGGUAAAGGCCUACCAGGGCUACGAACCGUAACUGGUCUGAGGGGAUGAUCAUUCAGACUGGAACUGGUGCACGGACCAAGCUCCUACGGGAGGCAGCAGGGGGGAAUGUUGGACAAGGGGGGAAAGCCUGAUCCAGCCAUGCCGCGUGUGUGAAGAGGGUUUUCGGAUUGUAAAGCACUUUAAUUUAGGAGGCGUUACCAACAGAAUAAGCACCGGCUAACUUCGUGACAGCAGCCGCGGUAAUUC
rnacentral:rRNA from 1 species